UACAGAGGGUGCGAGCGUUGUUCGGAAUUAUUGGGCGUAAAGCGCUUGUAGGCGGCACGUCAAGUCGCGUGUGAAAUCCCCCAGGCUUAACCUGGGAAGUGCGCGCGAAACUGACGAGCUUGAGUGCCGGAGAGGGUCGCGGAAUUCCCGGUGUAGAGGUGAAAUUCGUAGAUAUCGGGAGGAACACCAGUGGCGAAGGCGGCGACCUGGACGGACACUGACGCUGAGACGCGAAAGCGUGGGGAGCAAACAGG
rnacentral:rRNA from 1 species